UACGUAGGGUGCGAGCGUUGUCCGGAAUUAUUGGGCGUAAAGAGCUCGUAGGCGGUUUGUUGCGUCUAUCGUGAAAACCUGCAGCUUAACUGUGGGCUUGCGGUGGAUACGGGCAGACUUGAGUUCGGUAGGGGAGACUGGAAUUCCUAGUGUAGCGGUGAAAUGCGCAGAUAUCAGGAGGAACACCGGUGGCGAAGGCGGUGGUCUGGGCCGGCACUGACGCUGAGGAGCGAAAGCGUGGGGAGCAAACAGG
rnacentral:rRNA from 1 species